rnacentral:rRNA from 1 species
AUUGAACGCUGGCGGCAGGCUUAACACAUGCAAGUCGAGCGGGGGAAGGUAGCUUGCUACCGGACCUAGCGGCGGACGGGUGAGUAAUGCUUAGGAAUCUGCCUAUUAGUGGGGGACAACAUCUCGAAAGGGAUGCUAAUACCGCAUACGUCCUACGGGAGAAAGCAGGGGAUCUUCGGACCUUGCGCUAAUAGAUGAGCCUAAGUCGGAUUAGCUAGUUGGGGGGGUAAAGGCCUACCAAGGCGACGAUCUGUAGCGGGUCUGAGAGGAUGAUCCGCCACACUGGGACUGAGGCCCGGCCCAGACUCCUACGGGAGGCAGCAGUGGGGAAUAUUGGACAAUGGGGGGAACCCUGAUCCAGCCAUGCCGCGUGUGUGAAGAAGGCCUUAUGGUUGUAAAGCACUUUAAGCGAGGAGGAGGCUACUCUAGUUAAUACCUAGGGAUAGUGGACGUUACUCGCAGAAUAAGCACCGGCUAACUCUGUGCCAGCCGCCGCCGUAA